rnacentral:misc_RNA from 1 species
AAGGAUCAUUAUUGAAUGAACUUGGUGUGGUUGUUGCUGGCCCUUUCGGGGACAUGUGCACACCCAUCAUCCUCAUCUCUCCACCUGUGCACCUCUUGUAGACUUGGAUUGACUUUCCGAGGCAACUCGGUCGGGAGGACUUGCUGGCAGUAGCUGGCUUUCCUUGCAUUUCCAAGUCUAUGUUUUUUCAUAUACCCCAUUGAAUGUAACAGAAUGUAACAUAUUGGGCCUUUGUGCCUAUAAAAACUUAUACAACUUUCAGCAACGGAUCUCUUGGCUCUC